AUUUAAUUCACAAACAAAAAUGUACGUAUAUUAUUUCACAUGUACACAUGUACACAUGUACAUACAUUAAUUUACCAACAAAAAUGUACGUACAUUAUUUCACCAUCUAUUUUUAUUUAAUUAUUAUGUAUGUAUUGAGAUUAUUGAGAUAUAAGAAUACGUAAUAAAAUAGUUUUAGUUAUUAGAAUUCGUCCCAUAUAUGUUCCAAUAAAUAAUUUCGUGUACGUACACUAUAAAUUGAAUAUACGUACACAGAAAAAAUUCGAUGAAGGGUAUAAUUGUAAUUUUUCAGUCAUCUUCAACCUGUGUAUCCUUUUCUGCAAACCUAAUUUUGCGGCCGUCUUUAUUAGUUUUCUGAAAAUCUCAUUUUUUUUACGUUUUGAUUACUAUUUAUAAAUAAAUCUUGUAAACCUAGAGUAUCUUUAGUUUAAAAAGCUAAAGUGUUUGUAUCUAUGAGCUUUUUUUUUGCAUUUUGUUCAUCUCUGAAAACAAGAAAUUUGUUCCUCAAUUUUGGAGUUCAAUGCAAAGAUGUCGAAAUAUGAAGGAGUGGAUAAUGAAUUUUGAACUUCUUUCUACUUCUCUCUCGAAAUACUCCAUCUCUUUCUCUUUUUCUUCUUCUUCGAUUUCUUUGUUUCAGUUUUUUUUUUUUUU
rnacentral:sRNA from 1 species